rnacentral:rRNA from 1 species
AUUGAACGCUGGCGGGAUGCCUUACACAUGCAAGUCGAACGAGUGGCGGACGGGUGAGUAAUGUAUCGGAACGUGCCCAGUAGCGGGGGAUAACUACUGGAAACGGUGGCUAAUACCGCAUACUAUCGGAUGUACCCAUAUGGGAUUAGCUAGUAGGUGGGGUAAAGGCUCACCUAGGCGACGAUACCUAGCUGGUCUGAGAGGAUGAUCAGCCACACGGGAACUGAGACACGGCCCAGACUCCUACGGGAGGCAGCAGUGGGGAAUAUUGCACAAUGGGCGCAAGCCUGAUGCAGCCAUGCCGCGUGUAUGAAGAAGGCCUUCGGGUUGUAAAGUACUUUCAGCGGGGAGGCGUUACCCGCAGAAGAAGCACCGGCUAACUCCGUGCCAGCAGCCGCGGUAAUUC